CCGCCCGCAUUGGCCUCCCAAAGUCCUGGGAUUACAGGCAUGAGACACUGCGCCCGGCCUAAUCCUUUUUUAAAAAGAACAUUUUAUUGAGGUAUAAUUUAUGUACUUUGAAAUUUAACCAUGGAAAGUAUUCAGUUUGAUGAGUUUUAGUUUAUACAGUUGUGUGAUGAUCACCAUAAUUUAGUUUAGAGCACUUCCUUCACUCCCAAAAGUUCACUUUGUAGUCAUUCUUCAUCUGAUCUUCCCACCCCUAGGCAACAACUAAUAUACUUUCUAUUUUUAAGAUUUGCCUUUCUGGAAAUUUAAUAAGUAAACUCAUACAAUUUGAGGUGUCUUAUGUCUGGUUUCUUUGCUUAGCAUAAUAGUUGCCUUUAAAAGUUUUAUUGAUACAUAAUAACGACACAUAUUUAUGAAGUACAUGUAAUAUUUGAAUGUGUACAUACAAUAUGAAAUGAUUAAAUCAGAGUACUUAGUCUAUCCAUCACCUCAAACGUUUACUGUUUUUGUGUUGGGAACAUUUCAAAUCUUCUCUUUUAGCUAUUAUGACAUAUACAAUAUAUUGGUGUUAACUAUAGCCAUCCUACUGUGCUAUCAAACACUAGAACAUAUUCCUUCCAUCCAACUCUAUGUUCCUACGCAUUAACCAAUGCCUUUUCAUUCCCCUAGGCCUGCCCUGUUCCCAACCUGUGGUAACCAUUGUUUUACUUUCUACCUCCAUGAGAUCAACUUUCUUGUCUCCCACAUAUGAGCAUUUUCCCUACAUUUUCAAAGGCCUGCAUCAUCACACCUGCCGCAGCUUUCUCUAUCAUUGAGGCAUUUUCUCAGGAAAUCACCUGUGAAAUAUUUUGCAGCUAACCACCUACCUGUGCCCCGCCAGCCAACCUGCUUUACUCCUGCCAGGAAGCUGUGUCACUCUGGAAGCUUUGAUCAGAAAAUUGUAGUUGCUGUUGCCUCUGAUGUGCAAGUCCAAGAUUCUUGGGCCGCAGGACAUGUUCUGCAUAUAUUCCUGGAGAAUAGACCAACAAUGAGACUGAAUCAGUAAUGAAAAGUCUUCUAUCAAAGAAAAACCCAGGACCAGAUUGCUUUACUGCUUAAUUCUAGUAAACUCAUAAAGAACAACAAACACCAGUUCUUUUCAAACUAUUCCAAAAAAUUGAAGCAGGGCAGGGAGGAAUUCUUCCUAACUCAUUCUACAAGGCCAGCAUUAUCCUGAUACCAAAACCAGACAAGGACACAGCAAAAACAGAGAACUACAGGCCAAUAUCCCUGAUGAUGCUAAAUGGAAAAAUCCUCAACAAAAUACUAGCAAACCCAAUGCAACAACACAGAAAAGAUAAUAUACCAUGAUCAAAUGAGAUUUAUGUUAGGUAUGCAAUCAUGAUUCAACAUACACAAAUCAAUACUUGUGACACAUCACAUCAACAGAGUGAAAGACCAAAAGACAUAUGAUCAUCUCAACAGAUAUAGAAAAAGAUUUGAUAUGAUUCAAAAUCCCAUUAUGAUAAAAACUUUUAUUUUUUUGAGACAGGGUCUCACUGUGUCACCCAGGCUGGAGUGCAGUGGCAUGAUCAUGGCUCACUGCAGCCUCGACCUCCCAGGCUUAGACGAUCCUCCCACCUCAACUUUCCAAAUAGCUGGACUACAGGUGCCUGCCUGUAGUCAAGCCACAGGUGCCAUUGCCUGGAUAAUUUUUGUAUUUUUUGUAGAGAUGGGAUUUCGCCAUGUUGUCCAGGCUGGUCUCAAAUUCUUGAGCUCAAGCAAUCUGCCCAUCUUGCCCUCCCAAAGUGAUGAGAUUAAAGACAUAAGCCACCACACCCGGCCUAUGAUAAAAACUUAAAUCAGGUGUACAGGAAACAUAUCACAACAUAAUAUAGACAAUAUGUUCCAAACCCACAGCAAACAUCUUAGUGAAUGGGGAAAAGGUAAAAGUCUUUCCUCUAAGAACUGGAAAAAGAUUCGAAUGUCUACUUUCACCACUCUUAUUACCAUAGUUCUGGGAGUCCUAGUCAGAACUAUGGUAAGAGAAAAAAAUAAGGCAAGAAAAGGAAAUAAAAGGCAUCCAAGCUGGAAAACUGAAGUCAAAUUGUCUCUUUUUGCAGAUGACAUGAUCAUACCUAUAGAAAACUUAAACACUCUUCGAACUGAUGAAUGAUGUCAAUAAAUUUGCACAAUACGAAAUCAGAAAAAAAAAUCAGUAGUGUUUCUAUAUGCCAAUAAUAACUAGCUGAAAAAGAAAUCAGGAAAGCAAUCCCGUUUAUAAUUGGUACAAAAAAGUAUAUGAAUAAACUUAACCCCAAAUUAAAUGUUCUCUAUGUUAAAAACAAUGAAAUAAAUGGACGAGGACACAAAUGAAAAGACAUCUUAUGUUCGUGGAGCAAAAUAAUACUGUUGAGAUGACCAUACUGCCCAAAGCAAUCUACAGAUUCACUGCAAUACCUAUUAAAAUACCAGUGACAUUCUUUAUAAAAAUAGACAAAAUACUCCUAGAAUUCAUAAGGAACCAAAAAGACCUCCAAUAGGCAAUAGUGAGCAUAAAGAACAAAGUGGGAGGCAUCAUACUACCUCACUUCAAAAUAUAAUACAAAGCUAGUGUCACCAAAACAGCAUGGUAUUGGUCUAAAAAUAGACACUGGCCAGACACAGUGGCUCACACCUGUAAUUCCAGUGCUCUGAGAGACUGUGGCAGGCGGAUUGCUUGAGGCUAGGAGUUCGAGUUCAGCCUGGGCAACACGAUGAGACCCCAUCAUUACAAAAGAUUUAAAAAAAUUAGCUGGGCAUGGUGGCACAUGCCUGUAGUCCUAGCUACUUGAGACAGGAGGAUCACUUAAGCCCAGGAGUUAGAGGCUGCAGUGAGCUAUGAUGGCACCACUGCACUCCUGCCUGGGUGGACAGAGCAGGACCCUGUCCAUAAAAACAAAAACAAAAAUGAAAUACACAUAGACCAAUAGAAGAGAAUAGAUAAUCUACAAAUAAAUCCAUAUAUUUACAGCCAACUGAUGUUUGACAAAGGCACUAAAAACAUACCUUAGGGUAAGGACAGAAUCUUUAAUACAUGGUAUUAGAAAAAGUGAAUUCCAAAAUGUGUAAGAAUGAAAUGAGAUGCUUGUUUCUCAUACUAUACAAAAAUAAACUCAAAAUAGAUUAAAGACAACAUGAGUUCCACAAUUAUAAAACAACUUGAAGAAACACAGGAGAAAUGCUUCAGGACACUGGCCUAAACUAGCCAUAUUUUAUGGCUAAGACUUCAAAAUCAUAAGCAACAAAAGCAAAAAUACACACAUGCGACUACAUUAAACUAAAAACUAAAAAGCUUCUGUACAGCAAAGGAAAGUAUCAAUAGUGAAUAUACAAAAUGUAGAAUGGGAGGAAAUAUCUGCAAAGUAUUCAUCUUACAAGGGACUAAUAUAUGGAAUAUACAAGAAGUCAAACAACAACAACAAAAACUCCAACUAAAAAGUGGGAAAAGGAUCUGAAUAGACAUUUCUCAAAAUAAGACAUACAAAUGGGCAACAGGUAUAUAAAAAAAUGCUCAUCAUCACCAAUCAUCAGGGAAAUGCAAAUCACACUGAGAGAUCCUCUUACCCCAAUUAGGAUGGCUAUUAUCAAAAAGACAAAAAAUAACAAAUAAUGGCAAAGAUGCAGAAAAAAGGCAAUAAUUAUACACUCUUGGUGUAUAAUUAGUACAGCCAUUAUGGAAAAUGGUAUGGAGGUUCCUUAAAAAACUACAAAUAGAACUACGAUACAAUCCAGCAAUCCCACUACUUCAUAUUUAUCUAAAGAAAAGGAAAUCAGUAUGGCAAAAGGAUACCUGUACCCCCAUGUUAACAUUAUUCACAAUAGUCUAGAUAUGGAAUUAACCUAAAUGUCCAUCAGUGGUUGAAUGGAUAAAGAAAAUGUAGUACGUAUAUAUAAUGGAAUAUUAGUCAACCAUAAAGAAGAAUAAGAAUACUGCUGUCAUUUACAGCAGUAUCAUUAGAAUCAUUAACUAAUGAUAUAAUCAGUAUCAUUAGUUCAUUAUGUUAGGUGAAAUAAGCCAGGCACAGAAAGCCAAAUAUUGCAUAUUGUCACUCAUAUGUGGGAGCAGAGGCUAGGAAAGGGAGAUGGAAGGGAGAACAAAGAGCAGUUGAUUAUGGGUACAAAAAUAUAGUUAGAUAGAAGAAAUAAGUGUUUGAUAGCACAGUAAGGUGACUACAGUUAACUGUAAUUUAUAUUUCAAAAUAGAAAAAAAUUGAGUAUACAGAGAAAUGAUAAAUAUUUGAGGUUAUGGAUCCUGAUUUGAUCAUUACAUAUGGUAUGCAUAUAUCAAAAUUCCACAUCUACUCCAUAAAUAAUGUACAAUUAUUAUGUAUCAACAAAUAAGAAAAUAAUCCCCCCAAAACUAAUACAGAAUAGUAGGCAUCUACAAAGGGGAGAUAUUUAUAUAUAAAUGGAGAAUAAUAAAGAAUUAUCUUUUUUAAUACAUUAAAAUGAAUAUUCAUAUUAAGAAAGGAAAAACUAAAGUGAAAAGAGAAAUAGCAAACUGAUAGAAAAUACUGCUGGUACUAUGACAGUCAAUGUGCUUAUUAUUCAGGAAAAAUACUCCAAAACUUGUCAGAUAUAUGAUUAUAUGAGCUUUCCUACAUCAUCUGUAUGAUUUCUAAUUUUUCUGAUCACUCAGAUAAUGACAGUUAAGUGUGCUGAUUCUGUAAAGUUACAGGGUAACUUACAAUGGUGUUAUUUUGGCACUACCCACAUACAUCCCACCUUCUCAUACCUGCACUGAACCAGCUUUGUCAUUCUGCCAGUAACCUCACUUAUGAGUUAAAUAAAAUCCUAACAUAUACUCCCAUUACAUUAAACAUUCACACUUUCAGAAGUCAGUGGUAGACAAGAAGCCUUUUAUUUUAAUUCACUGACAGACAAAUCAGCAAGCAAUUGAUGUGGGGACGAGAGAAGGGAGUUGAUAAUGGACUGAACAUUAGCAUCCCCCCCCAAAUUAAUAUGUUGAUGCCUUAACCCCCAAUGUGAUGGUAUUUGGAGGUGGAGUUGUUGGGAGAUAAACAGGUUUAGUUGAGUUCAUGGGGUGAGCCCAUGGGAGGACACAGCAAGAAGGUGGCAGCCUGCGAGCCAGGAUGGGAACCCUCACAAUGAAGCAAAGGUGCCAGCACCUUCAUCUUGGAAUUCCCAGAUUCUAGAACUGUACGAAAUAAAUGUCUGUUGUUUAAGCCUCCCA